CCCUACACUCUCUGUCUAGCCUAUGUUCUUGCAUCUGACAAAAUUAAAAAAAUAGCUUGAUUAAAUCCCUUUGUUGCGGCAAACUACCUUCAUGUUGCCAGAAGUUUGCAAAUGUUUGCCACUAGUGGUGAAUCUGAGGGAAACCUUUGGCAACAAUAAUAUUUAUUGCCACUUGUGGCAAACAGUUCGCAAUACUCUCAAGAUUCCAUUUGAAUCUGUGGCAACAAUAUUUAUUGUCACUUGUGGCAAACAGUUUACCAGAAGCUGUUGCUGGUGAACACAUAAGUUCUAAAAUCAGUAACCAUUGACGACCAAUCAGGGGGAUUAGUAAUAUCUGUUGGAAAAUGUAAACCAAGCUAUCUAGCUAGCUACUUACCAAAGUUUUCCGAUGUAUACCCUUCCCCUACCCGUGGUGUUGGAAGAGGCUGUAUUAGGAGGAGGAUGCAUCAGCACUCUGGAGAGAUGUUCGUGGUGCACUCAUAGCACAUCUUUUUUUUGUGAUAAAUGAGUGUAUUGUCUUCAAGCUUGAUAAAAAGAAGCAAUCAGUUAGAAGGCAAAAAUACAGAUUGAGGCCUUUAAUCAAAGGACAGAAAUGUGUGUGCACCAGGUCAAGGCUUCUUGCAUGCAUGGCUUUGAGAUCCAUAUACACCUGAGGAGUCAAGAAGAAGAGACAACUAGUAGACAACAUUCUCUUAAAUGAUGAAGUCCCCAUUCUAGAUUGAAUAUCAUCAUUAGUUGAUCAGUUUUUAUCAAUUGUGUUGAGGCUUGGCUGGAGAAAAACCUUGUAUACUGUGGCUCUCUAGGAACAACUGGCCACCCCAUUUAAAAGGUAGCUUUAGUAGGCCUAAGUCCCAGUUUAUGUUAGCUACAUAGUUUGUUUAUAUAGCAUUUAUACAAGGCAGAAACAUUGCUUCAUUGCUGAAAAUAUAUAGAAUGUCAGUUUCAGUGAGAAGCCAGGCAACUUUGUAACAGCUGACCCCGUUUUUCCUAAGCCAAACCUGCCCAUUAGCUGCUGAGUCAACCUUUUAAGAUGCCAAAAUAGAAAAUGUUCUCAGUAAUUGUUUUCAGUAUCCUUAUUUUGUUUAGUGUUUUCUGAUUGUUUCAGCGCAUGCAUUCAAUAAGCAUUGGACGAAGGACUUCCACAGUUCCAUCUCCAAAGUUCACUCAAAAAGGCAAUAGCUCUGAACUAGGUUUGAUUUAGUUUUUGUUUUAAUUAUUUAAAUGUUGUUCAUUAUCUUUUUAAACUUCCAUUGGUUGAAAGCUAUUUCUCAGUUAUCACUUGGCUCACGUAAAUUCUGUAGUUGCCCCUUUAAACAUCUUAAGGUCAACAUCCCCAUACGGUUCACAUUUCUCUCAUGUAAAUGUUGUAGCUACAUAAAAAAAUAUAUUUUUAAACAAUAUAUUUCGGAAAUAUCUAGUCUGCUCUUUUCUUCAAUAGCAUACAGAUGAUUUAAAGUUGUAUUGGAUACAUUUUUUAACUGUUAAGACAUUGAAUACAUUUUGUUUAGUAUAUUUAGUACAUUUAGUAUGUUUAAUUUAGUUCUCUGUGAGAAACAAGUUUGUUUAAAGUUAUGUGAUUUGGUUUAUGUACACUGAACAAAAACAUAAAUGCAACUAUUUCAA